AUAAGUAAUAGUAAGAGCAUAUAAUGGAUGCCUUGGAUUUGAGAGGCGAUGAAGGACGUAAAUAAUCAACGAUAAGUUGCGGGUAUUAGUUAAAUAAAUAAAAUGAUCCGCAAAUUUCCGAAUGGGAUAACCUGUUAUAUUGAAGAUAUAACAUUAUUUAAUUAAUUUUAAAUAAGGCAAACUUAGGGAACUGAAACAUCUUAGUACCUAAAGGAAAAUAAAACAAAAGUGAUUUCGUUAGUAGUGGCGAGCGAAAGCGAAAAAGUCUAAACUAUAAUUGUGUAUAUCGCUUUUAUAGGGUUAUAGGGUUAUAAAUAAUAUUUAAAUAUAAUAUUUAUUAAUAUUAGAAAUAUUUGGAAAAAUAUACCAAAGAUGGUGAUAGUCCAGUAUAUUAAAUUAAUUUUUAUUAUAUAUUAUAAUACCUAAGUAAAACGAGACACGAGAAAUCUUGUUUGAAUUUGCCAGGACCAUCUGGUAAGACUAAAUACUACUCAAAUACCGAUAGUGAACUAGUACCGUGAGGGAAAGGUGAAAAGAAUUUCUAUAAGAAAUGUGAAAUAGAACCUGAAAUUAUAUGCUUACAAUCAGUCGGAGCUUUUAUUAUUUAUAAUAUAAAGUGACGGCAUGCCUUUUGCAUAAUGAACCUACGAGUUAAUUUUUCUGGCUAGGUUAAAUAAUUAAGUUAUGGAGCCAUAGCGAAAGCGAGUUUUAAAAAGCGUAAGUCAGAGGAAUUAGACGCGAAACCGAGUGAUCUAUCCAUGAGCAAGUUGAAGCUAUGGUAAAACAUAGUGGAGGACUGAACCGGUAGAUGUUGAAAAAUCUUCGGAUGACUUGUGGAUUGGAGUGAAAGGCUAAUCAAACUCGGAGAUAGCUCGUACUCCUCGAAAUGCAUUUAGGUGCAGCGUUAUGUUAUAAUAUUAUAUAGGUAGAGCUACUAAUUUGAUAAAGGGGUGUCAAAACCUACUGAAUCUUGAUAAACUCCGAAUUAUAUAAUAUAUUUCAUAGCAGUGAGAAUAUGGGUGCUAAGAUCCAUAUUCUAGAGGGAAACAGCCCAGAUCAUCAGAUAAGGUCCCUAAAUAUAUACUAAGUUGUUAAUAACGAAGUUUUAUAUCAUAAACAGCUAGAAUGUAAGCUUGGAAGCAGCUAUCAUUUAAAGAGUGCGUAACAGCUCACUAGUCUAGAUAUAAAGCGCGGAUAAUAAACGGGCAUAAGUAUAUUACCGAAUCUAUGAGUAUAAAAUAAAAUUUUAUACGGUAGAGGAGCAUUGUAUUUACAUAGAAGUAAUAUUGUAAAAUAUUAUGGAGUAUAUACAAAAGAAAAUGUAGGUAUAAGUAACGAUAAUAUAGGUGAAAAACCUAUACACCGUAAAACUAAGGUUUCCUCAGCAAUGUUAAUCAACUGAGGGUAAGUCGAUUCCUAAAAUGAAGCUGAAAAGCGUAAUUGAUGGAUAAUCGGUUAAUAUUCCGAUACUUGUUUAUUGUUUUUAUGAAGGGAUAACGAAGUGGUGAAACUAUUGCGUAAUAUUGGAUUGUUACGUUAAAAUAUAAAGGUAUAUAAAUAUAGUAAAAUGCGUAUUUAUGCCGAAAUAUAAUAGUACUAUUUAAAAUAGAUAAUAUAGGUAAUAGCUUCCAAGAAAAAUCUCUAAAUAUAUAUAAUAAACAAAUCGUACUAAAACCGACACAGGUAGUUGAGGAGAGAAUCCUAAGGUGCUCGAGUGAUUCACAGCUAAGGAACUAGGCAAAAUGAACUUGUAACUUCGGGAGAAAAGUUACCAAUUAAAUUGGUCUCAGUAAAAAGAUUCAGACGACUGUUUAUCAAAAACACAGGACUCUGCUAAAAUCGUAAGAUGAUGUAUAGGGUCUGACACCUGCCCGGUGCUGGAAGGUUAAAUUAGAUUGUUAAUAUAAUUUUUAUAAAAUUAUAUAAAGCUUUCGAAAUAAGCCCCAGUAAACGGCGGCCGUAACUAUAACGGUCCUAAGGUAGCGAAAUUCCUUGUCGGGUAAGUUCCGACCUGCACGAAUGGUGUAACGAUCUGAAUACUGUCUCUGCUGUGAGCUCGGUGAAAUUGUAAUAUCGGUGAAGAUACCGAUUACUCGCAAUGGGACGAAAAGACCCUGUGAACCUUUACUAUAACUUCGUAUUGAAUUUAAAUAAAUAAUGUGUAGAAUAGGUGGGAGACUAUGAAAUAUUAUCGUCAGGUAAUAUUGAGUCAUCAGUGAAAUACCACCCUUUAUUUAUUUUGAUUCUAACUAAUAUAAAAAAUAUUAGGACAAUGCGUGGUGGGUAGUUUGACUGGGGUGGUCGCCUCCUAAAAAGUAACGGAGGCUUCCAAAGGUGCUUUCAACACGGAUGGCAAUCGUGUGUAGAGUAUAAUGGCAUAUAAGCGCUUAACUGUAAGAUUUACAGAUCGAACAGAUACGAAAGUAGGGCAUAGUGAUCCGGUGGUUUCUGUAUGGAAAGGCCAUCGCUCAAAGGAUAAAAGGUACUCCGGGGAUAACAGGCUAGUCUCCCCCAAGAGCUCAUAUCGACGGGGAGGUUCGGCACCUCGAUGUCGGCUCGUCACAUCCUGGGGCUGUAGAAGGUCCCAAGGGUUGGGCUGUUCGCCCAUUAAAGUGGCACGCGAGCUGGGUUCAGAACGUCGUGAGACAGUUCGGUCUCUAUCUAUUGCGAGCGUAAGAAGUUUGAAGUGGCCCCGAUUCUAGUACGAGAGGACCGAAUUGGACGAGCCUAUGGUGCAUCAGUUGUAUCACCAGAUGCAUAGCUGAGUAGCUAAGCUCGUAAAAGAGAAGCACUGAAAGCAUAUAAAGUGCGAAACUUACCACAAGAUUAAACUUCUUUUAAGGAUAGUUGUAGACUACAACAUAUAUAGGCUAUAAGUGUACAAAUAGUAAUAUUUUUAGCUAAAUAGUACUAAUUAUCCGUAAUUACUAACUU
rnacentral:rRNA from 1 species